AGUUCAGAUUGCAGGCUGNAACCCGCCCUGCAUGAAGUCGGAAUUGCUAGUAAUCACGGAUCAGCAUGCCGCGGUGAAUACGUUCCCGGGCCUUGUACACACCGCCCGUCACACCAUGGGAGCCGGUAAUACCCGAAGUCAGUAGUCCAACCUCGUGAGGACGCUGCCGAAGGUAGGAUUGGCGACUGGGGUGAAGUCGUAACAAGGUACC
rnacentral:rRNA from 1 species